UAGGUAAUGAUGUCAUUUGUAUUUUAUGGAAACUUCUAUACGUAAUGAUGUCAUUUGUAUUUUAUGGAACCA